CCGUUUGCUCGAGGACACUCCAGCAGGACGCCACGCGUCUUAUUCUUCUUCUGUGAAGUUGUUCUUCUCUUCCUCUCUCCUCUCACUCACCCUCUUCGCCUCGGGCCGGCGGUGGGCCGAGGACCGUCUCCACCCGCACCGAAUCGAUGGUCACAGUGGCGCCGAGGCUGCUGGGAAAUAUAUGUAAAAAGUGCGGCGGUGUCGGCGUUGGAGGACUGUGGACUCAGACUUCAGAGAGAAACUCACAGUGACAAAUCAGACGGAUGAGGAGCUCGCUUCAUUACUCACGCUCCCGCAUCUCGUCGCCGCUGUAGAUCCUUCUGUUCCGCGGUGACAGAAGACAGAUAGCUUCCACGCCGCCGUGCUGCUGACCUUUGUGUGAUGUAUGAGGUCAGUGGAUCUGCUGCUGUCGGCUGUAUCACAGGCAGGACGUCUGCAGAAAAACGUCUUCAUGCAAGAGAUGGAAGUCCUGGAUGUGCAGCAGGUGUGCAGGUGUGUUGCUACAGUCACAGUGAGACGACUUCCUGUGGAUUCAGUCUGCUGACGUCACUGCAGAGAGCGCAGCGCUCAAACUGGAAUAUUACAGAAAUCAUUUAUGAGCUGUUAGAGAGCGACACUGUGUGUGUGUGUGUGUGUGUGUGCAGUGUGUGUGUGUGUGUGCAGUGUGUGUUCAGUGUGUGUUCAGUGUGUGUUCAGUGUGUGUUCAGUGUGUGUGCAGUGUGUGUUCAG